rnacentral:rRNA from 1 species
AGUGAACGCUGGCGGUAGGCCUAACACAUGCAAGUCGAACGGCAGCACAGUAAGAGCUUGCUCUUACGGGUGGCGAGUGGCGGACGGGUGAGGAAUACAUCGGAAUCUACUUUUUCGUGGGGGAUAACGUAGGGAAACUUACGCUAAUACCGCAUACGACCUACGGGUUAAAGCAGUGGAUCUUCGGACCUUGCGCGAUUGAAUGAGCCGAUGUCGGAUUAGCUAGUUGGCGGGGUAAAGGCCCACCAAGGCAACGAUCCGUAGCUGGUCUGAGAGGAUGAUCAGCCACACUGGAACUGAGACACGGUCCAGACUCCUACGGGAGGCAGCAGUAGGGAAUAUUGGACAAUGGGCGCAAGCCUGAUCCAGCAAUACCGCGUGGGUGAAGAAGGUCUUCGGGUUGUAAAGCCCUGUUGUUGGGAAAGAAAAGCAGCAGGUUAAUACCCCGCUGUUCUGACGGUACCCAAAGAAUAAGCACCGGCUAACUUCGUG